rnacentral:rRNA from 1 species
AGUGAACGCUGGCGGCAGGCCUAACACAUGCAAGUCGAACGGCAGCACAGAGGAGCUUGCUCCUUGGGUGGCGAGUGGCGGACGGGUGAGGAAUACGUCGGAAUCUGCCUAUUUGUGGGGGAUAACGUAGGGAAACUUACGCUAAUACCGCAUACGACCUACGGGUGAAAGCGGAGGACCUUCGGGCUUCGCGCAGAUAGAUGAGCCGACGUCGGAUUAGCUAGUUGGCGGGGUAAAGGCCCACCAAGGCGACGAUCCGUAGCUGGUCUGUGAGGAUGAUCAGCCACACUGGAACUGAGACACGGUCCAGACUCCUACGGGAGGCAGCAGUGGGGAAUAUUGGACAAUGGGCGCAAGCCUGAUCCAGCCAUGCCGCGUGUGUGAAGAAGGCCUUCGGGUUGUAAAGCACUUUUGUCCGGAAAGAAAAGCUUCGGGUUAAUACCCCGGGGUCCUGACGGUACCGGAAGAAUAAGCACCGGCUAACUUCGUGCCAGCAGCCGCGGUAAUACGAAGGGUGCAAGCGUUACUCGGAAUUACUGGGCGUAAAGCGUGCGUAGGUGGUUUGUUAAGUCUGAUGUGAAAGCCCUGGGCUCAACCUGGGAAUUGCAUUGGAUACUGGCAGGCUAGAGUGCGGUAGAGGAUGGCGGAAUUCCCGGUGUAGCAGCAAAAUGCGUAGAGAUCGGGAGGAACAUCUGUGGCGAAGGCGGCCAUCUGGACCAGCACUGACACUGAGGCACGAAAGCGUGGGGAGCAAACAGGAUUAGAUACCCUGGUAGUCCACGCCCUAAACGAUGCGAACUGGAUGUUGGGAGCAAUUACGCUCUCAGUAUCGAAGCUAACGCGUUAAGUUCGCCGCCUGGGG